UGGCGGACGGGUGAGUAACGCGUGGGAAUCUACCAUGGAGUGGGGAAUAACAGCUGGAAACGGCUGCUAAUACCGCAUACGCCCUACGGGGGAAAGAUUUAUCGCUCUGUGAUGAGCCCGCGUUAGAUUAGGUAGUUGGUGGGGUAACGGCCUGCCAAGCCAUCGAUCAGUAGCUGGUUUGAGAGGAUGAUCAGCCACAUUGGGACUGAGAUACGGCCCAGACUCCUACGGGAGGCAGCAGUGGGGAAUAUUGCACAAUGGGCGGAAGCCUGAUGCAGCAACGCCGCGUGCGGGAUGACGGCCUUCGGGUUGUAAACCGCUUUCGCCUGUGACGAAGCGUGAGUGACGGUAAUGGGUAAAGAAGCACCGGCUAACUCCGUGCCAGCAGCCGCGGUAAU
rnacentral:rRNA from 1 species